GAUGAAGAACGUAGCGAAAUGCGAUAAGUAAUGUGAAUUGCAGAAUUCAGUGAAUCAUCGAAUCUUUGAACGCACAUUGCGCCCGCCAGUAUUCUGGCGGGCAUGCCUGUUCGAGCGUCAUUACAACCCUCAGGCCCCCGGGCCUGGCGUUGGGGAUCGGCGGAAGCCCCCUGCGGGCACAACGCCGUCCCCCAAAUACAGUGGCGGUCCCGCCGCAGCUUCCAUUGCGUAGUAGCUAACACCUCGCAACUGGAGAGCGGCGCGGCCACGCCGUAAAACACCCAACUUCUGAAUGUUGACCUCCAAUCAGGUAGGAAUACCCGCUGAACUUAAGCAUAUCAAUAAGCGGAGGA
rnacentral:misc_RNA from 1 species